ACUUUAUUUGCAGGCAGAAAUUUGAGAAGAGCGGUGGAGUUUGGGAAAACUCAUGUGGUUAGGCCCAAAGGGAAGAAUCAAGCUACUAUUGUCUGGCUACAUGGCCUUGGCGACAAUGGCUCUAGGUACUUCUUUUAUUUCUCUAACGUUGGUUUUGUAAUUAUGGAUUAUUAUCUAGCAUAAUAGUUUACAGAACAUGGCUUCCAUAUUACGUUUUUCCACUCUAUAUCUCCGGGCCUUUUUUGAAUUGUGUGGGUAUGUCCUAUACACUAAUGUCUUUGAGUAAUGAGUGUAACUUAUUAUACACUGGUUAGUUCAAUAUCAUUGAUCAAUUUGAAGUUUUUUGAUUGUGCAUUGUGGUAAAGUUUUUGUAAUAAAAGUGUUUUAUAAUUUUUUUUUUAAGAACCCAUAAUUAAUAGACUUGCAAUAAACCACUUAAAUGUUCAAAUCUCUUUCUAAGUCUCCUAAUUCACUUUUACACUUUAAAAACUAUUAAAAAUUAAUUAAGAGACCAUUUAAGAGGUUUUGGGAUAAUGAUGUUCUAACAGAGCAGCAACCUCGCCAUACGAGGAAGAACUCCUCAUUGAUUUAUAGAAAAAAAGUUGUCAUCAUAAAAAUCAAUUUAUAUAUAUCCUAUUUAUCCAAUUAUCUCAAAAAUGAAGCUAGCAAACAAAAGCAAUUAACAUUAAUACGCAAAUUUAAAUACUACAUUGACAUCAGAAGUUAACAUUAUGUGUUACUUUUUGUGGGUUUAAUAUUAUGAGUUACUUUUUGCAUCCAAAGACUCAAACUUUAAUACGCAAAUGACUCAAAGAAAUUUUCUAUAUAAACGAGUUAUAUACUACGGUAUUCAAGAACAUCAACAGCAAGAGAAAAAAACAGUUCUUUAGAAAUUUUAUUACGACAAUGUCUUUUCUUGGUCAUUUUCAAGUUCUUGUUUUUCUUUAUGCUCUUCUUCUUUUCUCAGCAGAAUCCCACAAAACCCAACUAUUUGAUACAGAAUCUAGCGCUGAUGAUGGUGCAGAACACGAAAACUACGGGGAUAAGGUCUAUUGAUUUUUCGUGUAUAAGAAGUUAUAACCAUAAGAAGGAAAGAAAGUGGUCCAAGGAAGAUUAUAUGAACUAAAUCUAUUGUUUCUUUCCUUUUGCAGGUUGAUGCGCGAGAUAUUCCUCUGUUAUAUCUCGAGACGAAGGUGAAGUCCUGAUCUUUCAAGAUUGAAACAUAAACGAAAGAUGUGUCUGUUUUUGAUGUUUCACUAUAUAUUUAUCUCUCAGAUUUAAAACGCUCCUGUAGGGUCACCUCAAAGACAAGAAGCUCAGAAGAAUCUGCUUGAGGAAAUAAAUCACAGGAAACAAAUCGAUCAGAACAUUAUAGAGAUUCUUAGACUUUCACUCAAACAAACCGAUGUCUUAGAUCUCUUAACUUCCACAAGAACAACAGGAAAACCUGUUGUAGAUGAUUGGGACUGCUACAAGACUCUGGUUAAAAGUUUCAAGAAUCAAUGUGGAGCAAAGAUGGAAUACGAUAUGAAGUAUGCAGGAGCACUUGCCAAUAUCUGCAAUAUGGGAGUGGAUGUGAAGCAAAGUGUUGCAGCUAUUGAAGAAGCUUGUGCCCAUUAAAUUAUAUGCAAAAAAUAAUAUUGUGAUCGCCUUAUAAAUAUGAAAGUUAUUGCAUAACA